ACAGGCAGUGGAAUUCAAAGUGUCGAAAGGACUGACUGCCACAGGUAGUUUGAAGAUGGAGAUGACCAUUUGGAAAGCACAUAAAAGAACUGGAUUCUCCUAAUAACCUGAAUGAAAUUGAAAGCAGAAUUUUCCUCAGAUCCUCAGAUCCACAAGACACCUUUUCCAGCAGGUUCUGAGAGCUGGAACAUGUGCAAUGUAUACAUGAUGAAGUAAAGUAGAACCCCAGAUUCUGAAGAUAUGUAACGGUGACUUUAAUAUAAUCUAUCCCCAUACAAUGCUGAAUACAACUUCAGGAUGUUCACCUACUUGAGCUACUCAUCCAUGGAAUCAUGAAUUCAGAAACUCUAGUCCAGAAUAUAAGGAGGCUGCCUAUUGUCAGGCUUUACACAAGGACUUCAUUAUGUUAUCAAGUUAAGAUGAGUUCAUACUGGAUUACAGUGGGCCCUGGGACAAUGACUGAUGUUCUUAAAAGAAAAGAGAAAUUUGGACAUCGAUUCAGACAGAGGGAUGAUGGCUAUGUAAAGAUGAAGGCAGAGAUUGGAGGGAUACUGCCACAAGCCAACAAUAUCAACGACUGACAGCAACCACCAGAAGCUAGAAGAGACAAGGGAGAAUUUUACUCUAGGGACUUUGGAGGAAAUAAGACCCUGUUGACACUUUGAUUGUGGACCUCUAGCGUCCAGAACUUUGAGAUAAUAGAUUUCUGUUGUUUUAUGCCACCCAUUUUGUGAGACUGUUAUGGCAGCCUUAGGGAAUGAAUUCAGAUUCCCAUUGCUCCUAGAUAAAGUCCAAGCUUCUUUUUAUGGCCUGUAAGAUAUUUUCUGCUCAGGCACUACUUUGGUCUUCAGCCUAUUUUGUCUUCUUGUC
rnacentral:lncRNA from 1 species